AGCUUUGCGCAGUGGCAGUAUCGUAGCCAAUGAGGUUUAUCCGAGGCGCGAUUAUUGCUAAUUGAAAACUACUCCCUCUUACUAUAAUGGUUUUACAUGUUAUUUAGAUAUCUUAAUAU
rnacentral:snRNA from 1 species